UUUUCGACCUGACUCAGACGUGAUACCCGCUGAACUUAAGCAUAUCAUUUAGCGGAGA
rnacentral:rRNA from 1 species